rnacentral:rRNA from 1 species
CAGCCGCCGCGGGAAUACGAAGGGGGCUAGCGUUGCUCGGAAUUACUGGGCGUAAAGGGAGCGUAGGCGGAUCGCUAAGUUGGGGGUGAAAGCCCGGGGCGCAACCUCGGAACUGCCUUCAAUACUGGCGAUCUUGAGUAUGAGAGAGGUGUGUGGAACUCCGAGUGUAGAGGUGAAAUUCGUAGAUAUUCGGAAGAACACCAGUGGCGAAGGCGACACACUGGCUCAUUACUGACGCUGAGGCUCGAAAGCGUGGGGAGCAAACAGGAUUAGAUACCCGCGUAGUCCCUGUCUCUUAUAC